rnacentral:tmRNA from 1 species
GGGGGUGACACGGUUUCGACGGGGAUCGGAAGCCAAGGUUGCAUGCCGGAGUGGGCUGGCUCCGUAAAAAAGCCCAAACCAAACAAACGCCGACAACGACGUUCGUUACGCACUGGCUGCUUAAUUGCAGCCACGUCCCUUGACCUAUCGCCCGUGUAGGGCCUGGGACGUCAAUUCAGCGGGCUAGCUGACGCGGAGGCCUGUGCCGCGGCAGCGAAACCAAAGCAGGCUACCCCGAAGGAAAUCCUGUUCGUGGGAGUUCCGAGGGUGAAGACAAAACACGAACUAAGCAUGUAGACGCCUUGAGUGGAAGGUUUCCGGACGCGGGUUCGAUUCCCGCCACCUCCACCA